UCUUCACAAAAUGACACCGUUUAGCAGCUACUAAAGUGUCCACCCUGUUUCAAAGAAGAAAUCUUACACAACUUAUGAUGACAGUCACAUAUUUUGUCUGCCGCCAUCCCCGGUAGCAUAUUGUGCUAGCUAAUGUUAGCACUAGGUAAAGUGCAUAAACUAGGCUUGUGUACGGUAAUAUUCGCCUGUUGUUGGAUUCACUCUUCCCGUUCCACUAGGGGGCUCUAUAGUUGCUUUGUAUUGGUACGUGGAUUAAUGUGUAGAAGAAGGAAACAAACGGCGGACCAGUAGUGUACUUAGGUUGCCUAGCAACCACACUAACAAGCCGAACCUGCCAUAAAUUUACAUCUUACCAAUCUUACCAAUGUUCAUGAGUGUUGCCCAAUGUGUUUAACCGGCAUGUCCACGUAAAGCACUCGGCAAUAAAAGAACAGUUACAACAUCAACGGCUACCUUAUGUUCUUCGUAACAUAAAGUUAAACACACGGCAAUCAUGUUUAAAACCGGAGAUUCUGCGGGAGAAACAGACCUUGCUACGCUAAAGAGGAAGAGAGGAUAAGCUAAAGCAGCUGUAACUAAGAUGAUAACAUCGGCAAGCAAAAAAA